CCUACGGGGAGCAGCAGUCGAGAAUCAUUCACAAUGUGGUAAACCCUGCUUUUUCUCCUCCUCUUUUGUGAAUGAAGGUCUUCGGAUUGUAAACCCCUGUCAUGUGGGAGCAAAUUAAAAAGAUAGUACCACAAGAGGAAGAGACGGCUAACUCUGUGCCAGCAGCCGCGGUAAUACAGAGGUCUCAAGCGUUGUUCGGAAUCACUGGGCGUAAAGCGUGCGUAGGCUGUUUCGUAAGUCGUGUGUGAAAGGCGCGGGCUCAACCCGCGGACGGCACAUGAUACUGCGAGACUAGAGUAAUGGAGGGGGAACCGGAAUUCUCGGUGUAGCAGUGAAAUGCGUAGAUAUCGAGAGGAACACUCGUGGCGAAGGCGGGUUCCUGGACAUUAACUGACGCUGAGGCACGAAGGCCAGGGGAGCGAAAGGGAUUAGAUACCCGGGUAGUC
rnacentral:rRNA from 1 species